GCUGUCUUCUGUUCACGAAACGUUUUUCCCAAAAAAAUUCCCUCGCCGCCAGCCUCGUACGCCGUCUUCUCCUCCUUCCCUUCCCCUGCACGCGCCGCCGCCUGGCCCGACUCGGAGACCAGCCGCCUCCGAAGAAUCUCGAAGCCUCCUCAUCGCUCCAUCCAGGCACGCGACCAGGCGUCCCGCUCGAGCCGCAGCCGCUGCCGCCGAGAUCGGGAUCCCCGCGACCACGCUGUAGCCCGCGCGUCGCCGCAGCCCCCCCUCUUUGCCCUUCCUCUCAGCUCCCGCACCUCUAGCGCCGCCGCGACCACGCUGCAGCCCGCGCCUCACGAGCCCCGCGACCAGCCCGCCCUGCCCUCCCGCCUCCUCCUGCAGUCCUGCGCCACCGCCGUUGCCCAGCCCCUCCAGUGGCCUCGGUCCAGCAGUUAGUUCAUUCAGGUUUUCAAUUUCACGAUGGCACCACCGGGAUUGUUGAUUACACAAACUGUGAUGAUAUGAAAUAUGUUAUAAAGAAACUGGAUGACACUGAAUUUAACUUUUCUAAAGGUUAUCUAGGGGUGAAGGAAUAUGAUGCUAAACGUGGGCGCUCCUACUCACGUAGCUGAAGCCCAAGUCGUAGCCGCAGCAAAAGCAGGAGCCCAAGGUUUACCCUGUUAUGCCAUUUCAGCGUAUUGACUUCAGUAAUCAUGGUUAGUUUGUUGAUCGUGUCCACAAACACCUUUGAUAAUGUUGCCAUGUGAUACUAUCUGUGUUUGGGGAUUUCCUUCUCAAUCACUCACUUUAUGUUACAAACGAUAUGAACUGCUUAGCCUCUUGUGUUUUUUGAAGACUCGAUUGUCUCUUCGUUUUAUCUGGGAUUGUGCGGCGAUCUUGGGGAUUGUGCAUUAGGAUAUUGGGGAUGGAAUUUGCUCAAUUUGGUACAAUUCUGUUGGUUGUAUGAGAGCUUGGGCAUAGCGUAUUGUUUGGAAUUCUGGACAAUAAAGAGCAUUAAGGAUUAUGAUGGUACAGUGGCUAGGAAUGUGCUUGGAGUUCAAUGCUUGAGGAAUGGUUUUUCUUCCUACAUUGGGCACUCUUAACCUACGUUGCAUGGAUACGGCCCAUACCAGCCGUAUCUGCGGCCCAGAACGGGGAUACGGCAAAAAACGCCAGGGAUACGUGUGUCCAUGGUUUGUCCCGUUUUUGUGAAUUAAAAAAAGAUUAAAAGAAAAACAAAACUGCUGGGAUCGCACCUGAAGAGCGCCUGGGAUAACACAUGUCCAAGAAAAACAUCACACGGCCCACGGCCCUUCAGGACGCACGACCUCGCAGUUACAGAACAAGUUCUUCGCGCACGCGGCAGCGCCUCGCUACAUCCCGCCUCCAUCGCAAAGCUCUUCAAUCAUUCAAGUCCAUUGAUGCAGCGCCCAUGGACCUCAAUUUUCUCUCUGUAUAACAUUGUAUACUUGUAUUUUUAAUUUUUUAUACAUAUACUCGUCAUAUCCCCGUAACUGUAUUUUUAGAAAAUGCCGUUUUCCCGUAUCCCCGGAUCCGUAUCCCCGUAUUCGUAUCCCCGUACCAUACCAUGUAACAUAGCUCUUAACAUGGCCUUUUGUAGCUUGCAUGCACUGACUGCAUUCAACACCGAUUUUUUGCAUUUCUGCAUGAUUUGAACUUAUAUAACUGAGUGCUUCAGUUUUCCUUGAGCUCUUUUUGCUUCGAUUCGGUUAGUCCAAUGCUGGGCGAAGCAUGAAGGCUUUUGGACUCAAGCUGUUAAUGGUGCAUUUUGGAUAUUGAAUUCGGUUGUUUGUGGAACUUUUGCAGAUCACCAGCAAGAUCCAAAUCCCCAAUUUGUAUUUAUCCCUGUACAGUUCCUUUUAAUUUAUAAAAUGUGCUGGGCCUCCAUUACAGUUUCCGGUAAAAAAAAAGAAAUAAUUAGAAGAGUUCUUUUAUGGCCGUGACUGAG